GUGUUUUUCAAUUACACACUAAAAAAUCCUGGGUUAUUUUUUCUACCCAAGUGCUGGGUUGAGCCAUUUGGGUAAAUUUUUUGGGUUAUUUUCUCAGUCUUGGGUAGUUUUUGGGUAGUUCUAUGUAACCCAACCGCUGGGUUAUUUUCUGGGUCGUUUUCACUGAGAGCUGAAUCAAUGCACCCCCUCCCCCACUCGGACGCAAUAACCCAGCUCAUUGGGUCAAAUCAACUCCGCGCAGGAUCAGCGCAGCGCGGGCUGACUGAAUUCGAGGUGGAAGUGGAUGCCACACACACGCUGUAAUAUUUGGAGAAAUAAGACCUGCUCUUGACUGUCCGUGGUGGCAAAUCCACAGCCUUUAGCUGGAGUAGAAUCAACCGUAUCUGAAGAGAGAGCUGAGGAAAUUAAACAAUGGCUGAGAAACAACACAGCCCAUCAGCCAGGUGGAACAGUACAUCUGAAAAAUAUGUUUGAGGUCCUCCAUGAGUUUCCUCGGCUAACUACCUCAGGCAUGAUGCAAAGGGAAAUCUUGCACUAAAGCUAUUACCUGUUUUGCUUCUACCUCCACCCUACAAAUUUGGCAGAAAAACAGUCCGACCCAGCAUUGAUGAAAGCAAAAAAGCUUUCAUUGACAUUCAGCCUGUUGGAACAAAUAUGGUGGAGUACCUCCAGCAGGCUGAAGCAUCAAGACCUUACCCAUAUGUCCUGUAACUUGAAAAUGGACACAUUGCGUCGCGGGCAUUUGUCAUCCUUGCAGGAGAAGCUUUGGAACAAAGAACUAUUGUUUAAGGGGAAGUCAUGGUCUAAUGGUUAGAGAGUUGGACUCGCAAUUUAAGGGUUGUGUGUUCGAGUCUCGGGCCGACAGGAAUUGUAGGUGAGAGGAGUGAAUGUAUAGUGCUCUCUUCCACCCUCAAUACCACGACUUAUGUGCCCUUGAGCAAGGCAUCGAACCCCCAACUGCUCCCCGGGUGCCGCA